rnacentral:lncRNA from 1 species
AACAAAAUCACCCUCUAUGUGACCUGGAGCCAAUCACCUCCCCAUUGGGAGCUCUUUCCUCGCGUGUAAAACUAACUAGAUACCCAAGACUUGGCUGUGUUCCCAUCUCCCAAAGUCCUGGACAGUUUCAAGCUGCCCAUAGACUCCCGCAGCAGCUUAAACAAAGCUGCUCAUUGCAAGUAUGGAUCUUUUCACUCUUUGCAUCCAUGUCUCCAGUGCCUAUCACAUAAAAGGCAUUUAAUAAAUGCUUAUUAUUUGAUUGAUUCGUGGGUAUUUUCCCCUCUUCCUCUCUUCUCCCACACAAGGCUUUGUCACUGGGAAUAGUCACUUCCCCUGUCACAGAAAGACUUUCCAACAGUCGGACCUUUCUAGAAAUGGAAGGGGCUACCGAUGACAGCUAAAACUAAUGGCAUCCAUUUCCCAGCCCUUGAAAAAAGCUUCCCAUGGGAGCCUCCGGAAACAAAAGCUGGUGUUAGUAUGAUCAUCCCCAUUUCAAACACAGCCAAACAGA